CUGUGCGGUGCACCGAAAAUUUCGGUGCACCGCGAUUCAUACCAUUCGAUUCGAUGCACCGAUUACAAAUUCCGGAUUUCGGUUCGGUUCGGUUUAGAUUUUACUUACACCAAAACAACAAAUAUGGCGUCCGAGUGAUGUUGAAAACGUGGAUUUUUAUGCAACAGAGAUUUAAAUCACUACUGUGUUGAGAGUUAGCAUUUUCACCACUCAUAUACCAACAGAAUAUGGUCCGUAAGAUCAUUGCAGUUUAUCUUUACAUGACAUAUAGCAUUUCUGUCAGUGGUGGAAUGAAAUCAACAUCGUAGUAUAUAUUUCAUGAUAGUUGUGAAGAUACAGAAGUUGUGAUGGUGUGUUGAUAGGCUGUCUUCAACUUGCCAUAUCUGAGAGUUCCAACAUGCAGGCCUGGAUUAAUGUGUAUAAAUCACUAAUGAAGUUACUUAGUGUUAUUUAGUUUUUAAAAAAGAAUGACAUUUCAAUUUAUACACACUUGCCAAGUGAAUCUGAUGAGACUGCUACAUGUAUUUGUGAGUAAAGGCACUCUGUCUUAACUGAAAAACUAUUUACAGUUUAUCACAACAAAUGGAUGGGACAGUAGAGUUGUUGCGGACAAUAUGUGAUUGUGAUGACCAAGUACUGAACAAGUGGAAGAUUAGAAGAAGGUCCAGAAUUCAAUCAUGUUUUUGAUUCUAAGGCGCAGACAGCAUGGAGAUAGUCCUAUUAUUCUCCCAUUCAUCUAUGAUGGAGAAACUUGUGUAAAUGUUUACAGUGUUCUCCCUAAUAAGUGCUCACAAGUCUGUAUUAAUUUAUCAGAAUAUAAAGUCCUUCACAGUACUGACUUUAAAAUUCAUGUAGAUUGUUUCCAGAUUUUUCUGAGGAAAAGUGCAUAGAUUACAUGUGUGAAUUUUGAAUAUAUUUCAUUCUUGUCUGCAAAUGUUGCCGAAACCCGUUAUUGAUGCACAAUGCACAUAGUCAUGUUAUGCAAAUGAUAGACCUCCUUUUUAAUUACAUGUCCUUAAGAUCAUGUCAACUCCUUAGUCUUAAUUGUAUAUACAAUUCUAGCAUUUAUAGCAUCAUUUGUAUAGCACUUGCUAGUUUAAUAAGGAUUUUAUUUUUUAAAAACUUUCAUUUGACAUGAUUGAUCAUCUAAAACGGCCAAAAUUCACAAAUCUAUUUAAAUCACUACCUGACCUUAGGCCAGAAAAGUGCCACAGUGGGUUGAUAUUUUUCUCUUGGAUCUUGAAAGAAAUUCUUUAUGCAGCAGUUUCCAAAUAAAAUGUACUCUCAUGGCCAGGGUGGGACUUCACGGAGAACUUUUUAACAUUGCACAAUGCAAUAUUUGUGGAUUAGAAGCUGUUGCAGUUUCUUUAAGUUUUCUCUCACAUCUUGUUAUAAUUAUAUUUUAUAUUUUGGGGCGGGUUGCACAAUGUGCAAACAGUUUAUACAAUGGUGAAUGACUGGUGGGCAAGCGACAAUAGCGUCCCUGUAAUAGUACCUACUUUGUGUAAUCAACUCCUUUCACACCUCUCACUUGAUGUUCCUCAAACUUUGUACAGUUGUUGGGGAUACAUUGAAGAUGUGCGUGUACCUUUUUGAAAGUGAUCAGACACUUUUUGAAAAAUUUACAUGUAGUUAAACUCUAAUUUGACAUUCCUCAAACUGUGUACAGUUGUUAUGAAUACAUUGAAGAUGUGCAUAUGUGUUUUUGAAAGUGAUCAGACAUUUAAAAAAAAGAAAUGUUCAUGUAGUUGAACUUAAGUAAUUUUAAAGCAUUUCUUGAAUAGAUGGUAACUAUUUUGUGUAAUCAAAUCCUCAUCAGGGUUUGACAUUUACUUUUUUCAGCACUAGACCAGUCGGGCUACUUCAAAUGAUUUUUACUAGACCUGACUUUAUAUCCACUAGCCCUGACCAACUUUCCAGAAAAAACCCUGAUAGUUUCUCCAUGUUUAAAUACUUCAUGUUAAUGACAAACAUUUACUACGUAAUUUAUGAACUUCAUAAACACUUUAUUAUAGUCAAUUCAAAUAAACUGUUUAGAAUUAACAUCGAGUAGAUGUCGUAAAACAUCAUUACCGACCGCAACUUAUUUAUUAGAACUAAAAAUAGAGAUUAUUCCACCACACGGUUCAAGAUUGGUAGUUUCUUGUUUAUUAUUUAACACGAACAGUCGGACUAGUAAAUCGACAUUUUAGUAGACUUGGUCGGUCGGACGUGCCUUAGAGUCAAACCCUGCUCAUGCACCUCUAACUUGACAUUCCUUAAACUUUGUACAGUUGUUAUGAACACAUUGAAGAUGUGCAUGCGUCUUUUGAAAAUGAUUAGACUUUUUUUUUUUUCUUUUUUUUUUAAUUACGUGUAGUUGAACUUUGUCAUUUUUUAUGCAUUUCUUGAAUAGAUGGUACCUAUUAAUUUUGUGUGAUCAACUCGUGCACAUCUAAAUUGAUAUUCCUCAAACUUUGUACAGUAGUUAUGGACACAUUGAAGAUUUGCAUGUGUCUUUUUGAAAGUGAUCAGACUUUUUUCAAAAAAAAUUACAUUUAGUUGAACUUUGUCAUUUUUUUUAAAGCAUUUCCUGAAUAGGUGGUACCUAUUUUUUGUAAUCAACUCCUCUUACAGCAUUUAUUUGACAUUCUUCGGACCUUGAACAGCUGUUAUGGAAGCAUUGUAAAUGUGCAUGUGUCUUUUCGGAAGUGAUCAGACAUUCUUUGAAAAAUUUACAUGUGCAUGGUGAAGUUGAACUUGGUCAUUUUUUAAGCAUGGUACUUUAUGUAACCAACUCAGCUUUUACUUAACAUUUUCCAGACCCUGUACAUUAUAGAUGUUAUAAAAACAUUGAAGAUAUACAUGUAACAUUUUUAAAAUGCUUCUCUUUUUUUUUCUUUUUUUGUUGUUGUUGUUGUUGUUGUUGUUGUUGUUGAAAAAUUCUAUCUUUAAUUUGUCAUUUUUCCAGUAUGUUUCUACUGUUGUUCCUAUGAUAGAUAACAUAUUUUACAAGAACCUGGUCAUUUCUGUUUUUGAAUCUCUUUUUUUUAAUUAGUAUUUUUGAGUAUGUUAAUUACUUGAUAUGUCAUUGUUCUUGAAAUUAUAUUAAUUGAAUUAUUAUUGUGUUUUUGUUUUGUAAUAUGACAGUUUAUAUAGGAUCCCUUAAUUUCGAGCAGACAGUACCAGAAAUGUGCCACAAGUUUGCCGCAAACUGUGCCAGAGGAAAAAUUUGCAUAUGAAAAGUAUACUUGCGGCAAAUAUGCCACACACUGUGUGCCAGAAGUGUGCAGCAAGUGUGUGCCGCAAGUUUGCUGCAAACUGUGUGCCAGAGGAAAAAUUUGCAUACGAAAAGUAUAAUUGCGGCAAAUAUGCCGCACACUGUGCCAGAAGUGUGCAGCAAGUGUGUGCCGCAACUGUGCCACAAACUGUGUGUCAGAGGAAAAAUUUGCAUACGAAAAGUAUACUUGAGGCAAAUGUGCCGCAACUAGUUGCGGCAAACUUGCCGCAAAUGCGCUGCAAAUUUGCAGCAACUGUGUGCAAGAGGGCUUAUAUUUUGGUAAGGGCGCGAGAGUUGCAUAAUGGUAUAACAAAUUUUGCCCUCAUAAUUCUUAAGAAGACAAACUUGAGUCUUAAUUUACAUGUUUAUAAGGAAGUUUUGGCUUUUCUGGUCCAAAAUUGUUCUUCAGAAAAUUAUUUUUUAAAGCAUUCCAUCCUAUUUUUACUUUUUCUAAUUAUCUACCAUUGAAAGCAGCAGGACCCUUUAACUGAACAAGUUUUAAUCCUCGAUCAUUACCCAUGAUGCUUUGAAGCAGAUUUAGUCAAAAUUGGCCUAGUAGAUCUUAAGAAGUAGUAAAUCUGACUUAAGAAGUAAACAAAAGGCCCACAAGCCUUGUUACUGGUCACCUGAGAAAUAGUUAUUAAUAAAAGUAAUUGCUAGCUCCAAAGGCUUUAUAAUAUAGUAACAAAACUUAUAAUUACUAGUAAUUUUCCUGUUCUGUAUAUCCAAUGUCAGUCACAUCAUUACCCAAAAGGGAAAAGGAAAGAUGUCACAUACUAGUCUAAUCAUGACAAGCUGUGUUUAAGGAGAAAUGCUAAACCAGAGAAAUUUGAUGUAGAUGAAAAGCGGAGGAUAUUUACAAUGACAUUUAGGAUUUUCCACCUUUCUGUGGAAAGCACUAUUGAUAUUCUGUUUAUCAUUAUUUUUUUCUUCCGCCAAAAAAAAUUUUACACCGCAAGACUUAUUGAAAAACAAUACAGUCCAUGAUAUUUGACAUUUCAAAACAUGCUCAGAUUUGACCCUGCAUAAUUAAACCUUGACCCCUAACAAACUUAUGGGUUUUGACGCGAAAAACUAUGAUUGUGAUAAAUUCAUCUUGGAAACCGUAAAUAGUAGAGGCAUGUUGAGUGUAGAUUAAUAAGGUCUCGCUGUAUUUCUAUUAAAGUAAUUCCACCCUCCUCUGAUGUCAUCAGAUUUUGCAAAAUCAAUGAUUUAUUUAGAUUUAUACAUGAUAGGAACAUAAAUUUUGUUGGAGUCUUUUCCGAUAGGUAUUGUAAAAAAUCUUGUUAUAAAUUAACUAUUUUAAAAGUUUAAAUUAUAGAUGAAUAAUCAAUGAUAAGUAAAAAAUAUUGAAUCCAAGGGCAAUAACUCUGUUUUCAUUGAUUUCUUUAUCAAGUCUAUUAUGCGAUAGGUUUCCUUUAUUUUUUACAGACAUUUAGUAUAUUUUUGUGAAGAAACAGUUUCAUGAAAUUGUUAUGAUAUCGUUAUAACUAGUUUUUAUGAAAUUUUGAUAACGCUGUUUAAGGAAAAUUGCAAUUUUCUGACAGUGAUAUAUGAUUCUGUUUAUGUAGGUCUCGCAUUUUAAAAAGUGUUAUGACCUAUAUAUUUUAUUUGAUAAUUUGUUAGUUUUAAAUCCAAUUAAUGGAAAUAAAUACACCUUUUAAACUUGUAUCAGAUAAAACUGCGAGUAUGGAGUUAUACCUUAACUAGCAUGCAGGGUGUGAAGAUUGAUAAAGUCUGAUUUGAUUUUGAUUUGAACUUACUUUAUUAUAUUAUAAAUAUACAAAGGGAUUGGUUACAAGUUCUAUCAAAGUUCUCUCUCUCUCUCUCUCUCUCUCUCUCUCUCUCUCUCUCUCUCUCUAUAUAUAUAUAUAUAUAUAUAUAUAAAUGGCCGAAAUGAUUUCUAACAGAUUUAUUUAAUUUCCUUGAAAACAAGAAGUUUAAGUUUAUUUACAAGGAAGUUUCACACUAAGGUUUUAUAAUGUACAGUAUAUAUUUAUUCUACAUAUAUAGGACUCACCUACACUUGGUAUGGAACUUUUACUUGAAAACAAUCCCAUAUAGAAAAUCCCUGACAGAUCUAUCACAUGUAUUUACUUAAGUUAGAGUUC